rnacentral:rRNA from 1 species
CCUACGGGAGGCAGCAGUGGGGAAUUUUUCGCAAUGGGGGCAACCCUGACGAAGCAAUGCCGCGUGGAUGAAGAAGGCCUUCGGGUUGUAAAGUCCUUUCGUGGGGGACGAAAAGGCGGAUCCGAAUACGGUCUGCUAUUGACGUGAACCCAAGAAGAAGCACCGGCUAACUCCGUGCCAGCAGCCGCGGUAAUAC